UGGCUCUCCUCUUCCCUAGGGCCCUGGAACUGUCCACCGAGGUCGUCUCACUUCCUCAGGCUCCCUCCUGCUUUCCUCUGGGCAGGAAAAAGAAUCUCUCUUCCUGCAGUGUCAUGGAUUCGGCUAGGAGAAAGUUUAGGUUCUGCAGUGUCUACUCAAGAAGUGUGAGGACCAGCUACCAUGCCCAGGAUAAGUCUGACUUCUGGCAGUUUCACCUUAGAUGGCUGCACAACCCAAUGUUGUGUAUGUGUGUGGCAUAUUUCUUGAAAAGCUUUCUUCGGAUCCUCUGCAUGUGCAUGUCUUGAAGAAGCGUCCAUGAGGAGGAUUUGGCAUAGCGAGCAAACAGCUCAGAGUUGGUGAAUAUAAUGUGAACAUUGUUAACUUCAUUACACAUCAUGUAGGUAUUAUAAUAACAUGUUCUGAAAUUAGAUAAUUAUUACUAUGA